rnacentral:lncRNA from 1 species
AGGGUUAAUGUCAUCACCUGUAAGGGGGUUCUUCCAUUGACGGAGAGGCGGACCAAAGCGCAGCGUGGUUAUUUUGAUUCAUGUUUUAAUAAAUCACUUCACAUGAACAAACUAACAAAAACAAAAAACAUGAAAACUCAAAACAGCCCUAUCUGGUGCAAAACACAGAGACAGGAACAAUCACCCACAAACAGCCCUAUCUGGUGCAAAACACAGAGACAGGAACAAUCACCCACAAACAGCCCUAUCUGGUGCAGAACACAGAGACAGGAACAAUCACCCCAAACAGCCCAUCUGGUGCAAACAGAGACAGGAACAAUCACCCACAAAGCCCUAUCGGUGCAGAACACGAGAGACAGAAACAAUCACCCACAAACAGCCUAUCUGGUGCAGAACACAGCAGGAAC